rnacentral:rRNA from 1 species
UGAUGCAGCUAUSCCGCGUGUAUGAAGAAGGCCUUAGGGUUGUAAAGUACUUUCAAUAAGGAAGAAGUAAUAAAAUAUAAUAUAUUUUAUUAUUGACGUUACUUAUAAAAGAAGCACCGGCUAACUCCGUGCCAGCAGCCGCGGUAAUACGGAGGGUGCUAGCGUUAAUCGGAAUUACUGGGCGUAAAGAGCACGUAGGCGGUUUAUUAAGUCAGAUGUGAAAUCCCUAAGCUUAACUUAGGAACUGCAUUUGAAACUAAUUUACUUGAGUAUCAUAGAGGGGAGUAGAAUUCCAGGUGUAGCGGUGAAAUGCGUAGAUAUCUGGAGGAAUACCAGUGGCGAAGGCGACUCCCUGGAUGAAUGCUGACGCUCAGGUGCGAAAGCAUGGGUAGCAAACAGGAUUAGAUACCCUGGUAGUCCAUGCUGUAAACGAUGUCGACUUGGAGGUUGUAAGCUUGUCUUGUAGCUUCCGUAGCUAACGCGUUAAGUCGACCGCCUGGGGAGUACGACCGCAAGGUUAAAACUCAAAUGAAUUGACGGGGGCCCGCACAAGCGGUGGAGCAUGUGGUUUAAUUCGAUGCAACGCGAAAAACCUUACCUGGUCUUGACAUCCAUGGAAUUUAAUAGAGAUAUUUUAGUGCCUUCGGGAACCAUGAGACAGGUGCUGCAUGGCUGUCGUCAGCUCGUGUUGUGAAAUGUUGGGUUAAGUCCCGCAACGAGCGCAACCCUUGUCCUUUGUUGCCAACGGUUCGGCCGGGAACUCAAAGGAGACUGCUGGUGAUAAGCCGGAGGAAGGUGGGGAUGACGUCAAGUCAUCAUGGCCCUUACGACCAGGGCUACACACGUGCUACAAUGGUAUAUACAAAGGGAAGCAUCCUCGCAAGAGUAAGCGGAUCUCAUAAAAUAUAUCUUAGUUCGGAUUGGAGUCUGCAACUCGACUCUAUGAAGUCGGAAUCGCUAGUAAUCGUAGAUCAGAAUGCUACGGUGAAUACGUUCCCGGGCCUUGUACACACCGCCCGUCACACCAUGGGAGUGGGUUGUAAAAGAAGUAGGUUGCUUAACCUUACGGRGAGCGCUUACCACUUUGUGAUUCAUAACUGGGGGG